AUGCAGUCGAGCGGUAAGGCCCUUCGGGGUACACGAGCGGCGAACGGGUGAGUAACACGUGGGUGAUCUGCCUCGCACUCUGGGAUAAGCCUGGGAAACUGGGUCUAAUACCGGAUAUGAGCAUGGUCUGCAUGGACUGUGUUGGAAAGGUUUACUGGUGCGAGAUGGGCCCGCGGCCUAUCAGCUUGUUGGUGGGGUAACGGCCUACCAAGGCGACGACGGGUAGCCGGCCUGAGAGGGCGACCGGCCACACUGGGACUGAGACACGGCCCAGACUCCUACGGGAGGCAGCAGUGGGGAAUAUUGCACAAUGGGCGAAAGCCUGAUGCAGCGACGCCGCGUGAGGGAUGACGGCCUUCGGGUUGUAAACCUCUUUCGACAGGGACGAAGCGCAAGUGACGGUACCUGUAGAAGAAGCACCGGCCAACUACGUGCCAGCAGCCGCGGUAAUACGUAGGGUGCGAGCGUUGUCCGGAAUUACUGGGCGUAAAGAGCUUGUAGGCGGUCUGUCGCGUCGAUUGUGAAAACUCACAGCUCAACUGUGAGCCUGCAGUCGAUACGGGCAGACUAGAGUACUUCAGGGGAGACUGGAAUUCCUGGUGUAGCGGUGAAAUGCGCAGAUAUCAGGAGGAACACCGGUGGCGAAGGCGGGUCUCUGGGAAGUAACUGACGCUGAGAAGCGAAAGCGUGGGUAGCGAACAGGAUUAGAUACCCUGGUAGUCCACGCCGUAAACGGUGGGUACUAGGUGUGGGUUUCCUUCCACGGGAUCCGUGCCGUAGCUAACGCAUUAAGUACCCCGCCUGGGGAGUACGGCCGCAAGGCUAAAACUCAAAGGAAUUGACGGGGGCCCGCACAAGCGGCGGAGCAUGUGGAUUAAUUCGAUGCAACGCGAAGAACCUUACCUGGGUUUGACAUACACCGGAAAGCCGUAGAGAUACGGCCCCCCUUGUGGUCGGUGUACAGGUGGUGCAUGGCUGUCGUCAGCUCGUGUCGUGAGAUGUUGGGUUAAGUCCCGCAACGAGCGCAACCCUUAUCUUAUGUUGCCAGCGCGUAAUGGCGGGGACUCGUGAGAGACUGCCGGGGUCAACUCGGAGGAAGGUGGGGACGACGUCAAGUCAUCAUGCCCCUUAUGUCCAGGGCUUCACACAUGCUACAAUGGCCGGUACAGAGGGCUGCGAUACCGUGAGGUGGAGCGAAUCCCUUAAAGCCGGUCUCAGUUCGGAUCGGGGUCUGCAACUCGACCCCGUGAAGUUGGAGUCGCUAGUAAUCGCAGAUCAGCAACGCUGCGGUGAAUACGUUCCCGGGCCUUGUACACACCGCCCGUCACGUCAUGAAAGUCGGUAACACCCGAAGCCGGUGGCCUAACCCCUU
rnacentral:rRNA from 1 species